UUCUUGAAAAUUAAAGAAUUUGGCGGUAUUUUAGUCUGUUCAGGGGAACCUGUCUCGUAAAUGAUAAUCCACGAUGAUUUUUACUUUGUCUUUAAGUUUGUAUAUCGUUGUAUUAAGAAUAUUUUUUUAGUUAAUGUUUUCAGAUCAAGGUGUAGCUGAUGACAAAGAAGGGGUGGGUUACAUUAGAAAUGUUAAUUAAAAUGGACUUGAAAGUAAGCUCUAAAAUAUGCACAUAUUGCCCGUCGCUUCCAUUAAGGUGGAAUAAGUCGUAACAAAGUAGACUUAUUGGAAAAUGAGUCUGGAAAGCAAAUUAGAGCUUGUUAAGCAUUUUAUUUACACUAAAAAGUUAAUUGUGAAAUUCAAUUUAAUUUGAGAGAAAAAGGUUAUUAAUUUUAUUGUGUUGUUUUGAUUAAUAAAAGUAAUUUUAUGUUUUAUUUUGGAAUGGAAUAAAUUUUAUUAUAGUGAACUGUAUUGUGAAAGAAAUUUGUUAUUUUUAAAAAAGAAGAGUUAAUUUUUUGUACCUUGUGUAUCAGGGUUUAUUAACUAAGUCCCGAAUCUAAAGGGGUGAUUCUAAUGUGGCAAAAUUAGGUUUAAUUUAUGACUAGAAAUGAAACGUUAUUCGUCUUUAGAAAUAUCUGGUUUUUGAAGAAUUUAAUUUAAUUAUAUGUAAUUUAAAAACCUUUCCAGGGGAUUAGCUCUUGUUUAUAAUUCUAAAAAUUUAUUUUAAGGUCGGUUUAAUAGGAUUAGUAAUGUCCAUUUUUGGGAGUAUUUAAUAAUAAUUUUUAAGUUUUUUAUUCAAAUUUAGGCAAGAAUUCUAUUUGUUUAGUAAAAAUGAUUAAAUUAUUAAGGCUGUUUUAAGGAACUCGGCAAAUAUUUUUUUCACCUGUUUAAUAAAAACAUGUCUUUUUGAUUAUAAUUUAAAGUCUGGCCUGCCCGCUGAUUGAAUGGCCGCAGUAUAUUGACUGUGCAAAGGUAGCAUAAUCAUUAGUUUUUUGAUUGGAAACUGGUAUGAAUGGUCGGAUGGGAAAAUGCUGUCUCUAGAAUUUUAUUUUUAAGUAAAAAAGCUUAGAUUUUUUAAAAAGACGAGAAGACCCUAUAGAGUUUUUUUAUUGGGGUGAUAUAAAAAUUGGUUAAACUUUUUAAAUUAAUGAUUUUUUGAUCCUGGAUUGAUAGAUAAAAUUACCUUAGGGAUAACAGCGUAAUUGUUUCUGAGAGUUCUAAUUG
rnacentral:rRNA from 1 species